rnacentral:rRNA from 1 species
GGGCCCGCACAAGCGGUGGAGCAUGUGGUUUAAUUCGACGCAACGCGAAGAACCUUACCAGGGCUUGACAUCCUCUGAAUCUGUUGGAAACAAUGGAGUGCCUUUCGGGGAGCAGAGAGACAGGUGGUGCAUGGUUGUCGUCAGCUCGUGUCGUGAGAUGUUGGGUUAAGUCCCGCAACGAGCGCAACCCCUGUAUUUAGUUGCCAUCAAGUAAAGUUGGGCACUCUAGAUAGACUGCCGGUGACAAACCGGAGGAAGGUGGGGAUGACGUCAAAUCAUCAUGCCCCUUAUGUCCUGGGCUACACACGUGCUACAAUGGGCAGUACAGACGGAAGCGAAGCUGUGAAGUGAAGCAAAUCCGAGAAAGCUGCUCUCAGUUCGGAUUGCAGGCUGCAACUCGCCUGCAUGAAGUUGGAAUCGCUAGUAAUCGCAGGUCAGCAUACUG